GGCUGGUCUGAGUGCAGUGGUGUUUACAACUAAUUGAUCACAACCAGUUACAGAUUUCUUUGUUCCUUCUCCACUCCCACUGCUUCAGUUGAUCAGCCUUGG
ensembl:misc_RNA Y_RNA Y RNA